rnacentral:snoRNA from 1 species
GCAACUUCAGAAGAACGAAAGUAAAAAUUUACAUCAUCAUCGGAGACACAGAUCGAUCCAAGAAAAAAAGAGAGACCAAAACAAAAGCAAA